CCAGUCCUACGGGGCGCAGCAGUGGGGAAUAUUGCACAAUGGGCGAAAGCCUGAUGCAGCAACGCCGCGUGAGCGAUGAAGGCCUUCGGGUCGUAAAGCUCUGUCCUCAAGGAAGAUAAUGACGGUACUUGAGGAGGAAGCCCCGGCUAACUACGUGCCAGCAGCCGCGGUAAUACGUAGGGUGCGAGCGUUAAUCGGAAUUACUGGGCGUAAAGCGCUCGUAGGCGGUAUGUCAAGUCAAGGGUGAAAUCCC
rnacentral:rRNA from 1 species